UCGGAUGUGGUGCAUGGUGCACUCCUGCUGGUCAUGGAAAAGUUUUGUGUGGGCAUGAGGCGGGAGCACCGGGUUCGACUCCCGGCGUCCGAA